rnacentral:rRNA from 1 species
GCUAAGCCCUAAACAUUGAUAGUAAUUAAUACAAUACUUUCCGCCAGAGAACUACAAGUGAAAAACUUGAAACUCAAAGGACUUGACGGUGUCCCAUAUCGGCCUAGAGGAGCCUGUCCUAUAAUCGAUACCCCCCGUUCCACCCAACCCCAACUAGCAAAAUAUCAGCCUAUAUACCGCCGUCGACAGUCUACCCCAUGAGGGCUCAAUAGUAGACACAAUAGCCUUAACGCUAAUACGUCAGGUCAAGGUGUAGCAAAUGUUGAGGAAAAGAUUGGCUACAUUUUUUAUGAUAAAAAACACGAAUUGCACUAUGAAACACUGCAUGAAGGUGAAUUUAGUAGUAAAACAGACAAGAGUAUCUGUUUUAACAACGCUCUGGGACGCGU